GACGAACGCUGGCGGCGCGCUUAACACAUGCCAGUCGAACGGAAAGGCCCUGCUUGCAGGGUGCUCGAGUGGCGAACGGGUGAGUAACACGUGGGUGAUCUGCCCCUUACUUUGGGAUAAGCCUGGGAAACUGGGUCUAAUACUGGAUAGGACCAUGCUGUAGGUGGUGUGGUGGAAAGAUUAGUUUCGGUAAGGGAUGAGCUCGCGGCCUAUCAGCUUGUUGGUGGGGUAAUGGCCUACCAAGGCGUCGACGGGUAGCCGGCCUGAGAGGGUGGACGGCCACAUUGGGACUGAGAUACGGCCCAGACUCCUACGGGAGGCAGCAGUGGGGAAUAGUGCACAAUGGGCGCAAGCCUGAUGCAGCGACGCCGCGUGGGGGAUGACGGCCUUCGGGUUGUAAACUCCUUUCAGCCAUGACGAAGCCCUUGUGGUGACGGUAGUGGUAGAAGAAGCACCGGCUAACUACGUG
rnacentral:rRNA from 1 species